AACGCACAUUGCGCCCGCCAGUAUUCUGGCGGGCAUGCCUGUCCGAGCGUCAUUUCAACCCUCGAACCCCUCCGGGGGGUCGGCGUUGGGGAUCGGCCCUUUACGGGGCCGGCCCCGAAAUACAGUGGCGGUCUCGCCGCAGCCUCUCCUGCGCAGUAGUUUGCACACUCGCAUCGGGAGCGCGGCGCGUCCAUUGCCGUAAAACACCCAACUUUCUGAAAUGUUGACCUCGGAUCAGGUAGGAAUACCCGCUGAACUUAA
rnacentral:misc_RNA from 1 species